rnacentral:lncRNA from 1 species
GGUUUCUACGUGAGAAAUUUUGAGGAAGAUGGACAAAUAAUUCCCUUUUUAGUGUUAUAAAUCAUGCUUUGGAAUAUUUGGGCUGAGGAGAAAGGACGUAAUUGCCCUUUGACCCUUAGGUAGCUAGAACUAUGGGGGAAUAACCUCUACGACGCAGACCUUAUUUUGGGGGAGAGACCGGUGUGUCGUAAAACUUAUUCUAGGAGAGAGAUCGGUGCACUGCAACCAUAUCGCAGACCCUUACUGUUUCUCACCAAAAUGGG